UAUUCGACGAGUGCUUUCUCUGAACCUUCAGUUGCUCUUUCAGCCAGAAUGCACCCGAAAAACUAAUCCAGGUGCCUGGUCUGUUCCUGGUCCUGACUUAGAUACCGGUAUGAAGCUUAGAAACAAUGGCACACCUUGUAUGGGUUAUGACUAUGACCAGCACUUCAUGGACAGAUGCCUGGUCUGUUCAUGGGGCCGACUUAAAUACCGAUAUGAAGCCUAGGAACAAUGGCGGUUAUGACUACAACCAGCAUUCAAU